AAAGACUUGAAAUUUAAAAUGUAUGCUCUAUAGAUGAUGAGAAGGCGUCCAAAUAAUGUAUAUUUAGAAAUCAACCCCUUUUUGGGGUUAAAACGGGGAUGGUAGGUUGACUCACUGAUCACGAAAUCUCCGAAACUAUAACACCUACAAACUUGAAAUUUGGCAGAAAGGCUCUUUAUAGGGCGUAGACAUCCGUUAAGAACGGAUUUUACGAAACUCGAC
rnacentral:misc_RNA from 1 species